rnacentral:rRNA from 1 species
UACAGAGACCUCAAGCGUUACGUCGAAUCAUUGAGCGUAAAGCGUACCGACAGGUGGUUUAGAAAGUCAGAUGUGAAAUUCCAAGGCUCAACCUUGGGACUGUCAUUUGAAACUUCUAAACUAGAGGGGCAAAGAGGAAGCUGGAACGAACGGUGUAGUAGUGAAAUGCGUUGAUAUCGUUCGGAACACCAAUAGCGAAGGCAGGCUUCUGGGUGCCACCUGACACUGCUAGGACGAAAGCGUGGGGAGCGAAGUGGG